rnacentral:rRNA from 1 species
UGGUUAAAAAGCUCGUAGUUGGAUCUCGGCGGACUGAGGGCGGUUUGCUUGCUAGUAUUACUGCCCUAUAGUCCGUAGUUUUGCCAGAGGUUUCGGGGUGCUCUUAAUCGAGUGUCCCGGGUUGCUGGCAGGUUUACUUUGAAAAAAUUAGAGUGCUCAAAGCAGGCUAUUACGCCUGAAUAUUCGUGCAUGGAAUAAUAGAAUAGGAAGUCGUUUCUAUUUUGUUGGUUUUCGGAAAUCGACUUAAUGAUUAAUAGGGACAGUCGGGGGCAUUUGUAUUCAACGACAGAGGUGAAAUUCUUGGACCGUUUGAAGACAAACUACUGCGAAAGCAUUUGCCCAGAAUGU